rnacentral:sRNA from 1 species
GAUCUAUUAAGGGACCAGGGUGGUCUCGGGACCACCCGAAGCUCGGAAAAAUGGUUGUGAGGAUCUUCAAGGACCACCCAAGUCUGGGCAGUGAUGGAAGAAGAACAGCAGCCAUGGCUGCUCUGGUCGUGUGCAUUUCAGAAUGGGGAAGAAGAAAGCCAAUUUUUUUUUAAAAUGACUUGGCCAAAACGACGUCGUUUUGAGCCAAGUCAUUAAAAAAAAUUUAAAACCUCACUGCCCACUCACGUGAGAACCCUCAGACUCAGCUCCUUCACACAGCAAUCACAAGAAGUUCAGAACUUCACUUUACCAAAUCGUUCAACUCUCUUCGUUCUCGUUACCAAAUCCUUCACACAACAAGGUCCGCUCUCGUUCCUUACGGCGUCGGCAUCGAUCAACUCUCUUCUGCACUGCACUCUAGUUUCUGAAUCUGAUAUUGUAAUUUUGAUUACACUGCACUCUAGUUUCUGAAUCUGAAUCUGCACUGCACAGCAAUUCAGAACUUCACUCUCUUCUUGCUCUCGUUCCUUCAGAUUAAAAACGGAGAUGUGCGAAAUUUGGCAAACACUGAGUUUCUUCUAGUGAAGAAGGAUUGGUCUUCUGAAAUUCAGGGACUAUUUUGUAGAGUAUAGUGAGUUGAUCAAGCUGCAACCUUUGGAAGGCGUAAACUAUAUAUUCUACAAUAUGUGCGUUUCUCACAAGUGCAAGGACCACCCUAAGUUAAAAUCCUGGAUCCGCCACUAGU